rnacentral:misc_RNA from 1 species
AUGGCGAAAAAUGAUCCAUAUAACUAAUUCAAACUAGUUCAUGAUUAAAGUUUAGUUGUUAUUGUUGUAUAUAGUGUAAUAGCAAUAGUAUUAUAUAAAAUGUCAUGGGCGCAUCUGUGGCUGUGAAUUGUUCUUUACCAUUGAACUUUGGUGAUUUUGUGCCUAGUUGAAUUUCUUACCUGCCAUUUUAUGGAUGCAUGUACUUCAAUUGCUUAGCAUAGUGGCAUAUUCAACAAGUGAUAUUCUACUUCGAUAUUAGUUUAUUUAAUUUCUCAUUUCAUAGAAUGAUGAAAUUAUUUGAUAAAAUGGAUAUGACUGGUUUUACAGGCUGAAUCUACAAAUGCGACAAAU